ACGCUCGACACCUACGGGAGGCAGCAGUAGGGAAUCUUCCACAAUGGACGCAAGUCUGAUGGAGCAACGCCGCGUGAGUGAAGAAGGUUUUCGGAUCGUAAAGCUCUGUUGUUGGUGAAGAAGGAUAGAGGUAGUAACUGGCCUUUUAUUUGACGGUAAUCAACCAGAAAGUCACGGCUAACUACGUGCAAGCAGCCGCGGUAAUCUGAGCGGGCUGGCAAGGC
rnacentral:rRNA from 1 species